GACGAACGCUGGCGGCGUGCCUAACACAUGCAAGUCGAACGAGGUCCAUCCUUCGGGAGAAGACCUAGUGGCGAACGGGUGAGUAACACGUGAGAAACCUGCCCGAAGACCGGGAUAACCCUCCGAAAGGAGAGCUAAUACCGGAUGCCCCCACCGAGCCGCAUGGCUUGGUGAGGAAAUGGAUUCCGCUUCGGGAGGGUCUCGCGGCCUAUCAGCUAGUUGGUGGGGUAACGGCCCACCAAGGCAUCGACGGGUAGCUGGUCUGAGAGGACGAUCAGCCACACUGGGACUGAGACACGGCCCAGACUCCUACGGGAGGCAGCAGUGGGGAAUCUUGCGCAAUGGGCGAAAGCCUGACGCAGCAACGCCGCGUGGGGGAUGAAGGCUCUCGGGUUGUAAACCCCUUUCAGCAGGGACGAAAUCAGACGGUACCUGCAGAAGAAGCUCCGGCUAACUACGUGCCAGCAGCCGCGGUAAU
rnacentral:rRNA from 1 species